rnacentral:lncRNA from 1 species
UGCAGGGAUACUGGAGUGAUGGAGGUAGAUAUGUAUAGGGGACAGGGAUACUGGAGUGAUGGAGGUAGAUAUGUAUAGGGGGAAGGGGACAGGGAUACUGGAGAGAUGGAGGUAGAUAUGUAUAGGGGGAAGGAGACAGGGAUACUGGAGUGAUGGAGGUAGAUAUGUAUAGGGGGAAGGGGACAGGGAUACUGGAGUGAUGGAGGUAGAUAUGUAUAGGGGGAAGGGGACAGGGAUACUGGAGUGAUGGAGGUAGAUAUGUAUAGGGGGCAGGGAUACUGGAGUGAUGGAGGUAGAUAUGUAUAGGGGGAAGGAGACAGGGAUACUGGAGUGAUGGAGGUAGAUAUGUAUAGGGGACAGGGAUACUGGAGUGAUGGAGGUAGAUAUGUAUAGGGGGAAGGGGACAGGGAUACUGGAGUGAUGGAGGUAGAUAUGUAUAGGGGACAGGGAUACUGGAGUGAUGGAGGUAGAUAUGUAUAGGGGGAAGGGGACAGGGAUACUGGAGUGAUGGAGGUAGAUAUGUAUAGGGGGAAGGGGACAGGGAUACUGGAGUGAUGGAGGUAGAUAUGUAUAGGGGACAGGGAUACUGGAGUGAUGAAG